rnacentral:rRNA from 1 species
UACGUAGGGUGCAAGCGUUAAUCGGAAUUACUGGGCGUAAAGCGUGCGCAGGCGGUUAUGCAAGACAGAUGUGAAAUCCCCGGGCUUAACCUGGGAACCGCAUUUGUGACUGCAUAGCUGGAGUACGGCAGAGGGGGAUGGAAUUCCGCGUGUAGCAGUGAAAUGCGUAGAUAUGCGGAGGAACACCGAUGGCGAGGGCAGUCCCCUGGGCCUGUACUGACGCUCAUGCACGAAAGCGUGGGGAGCAAACAGG